UUUCGAGUGAUUCUCUACCUAAACAGGCGAUUGUCAUCCUUCAUUGGUGUACCCAGAUGGGAAAAUGAGUCAGCAUUUUGCAAGCUUAAAACCUGGCGAUGUAGUGGAAGUGAAAGGGUAAGACAUACACAUGAGCAACCAGUAGGCAAGUAUUUUUCUGUAUUUCUUCUUACCAUUGGAUCCAUUUGGUUGAUUAGAAUGAGUUGAAAUGGAAUGAAAUGAUCAUUCUUGGACUCCACUUCAGAAUGAUUAUUUCCUUAUGAUAGUGAAUGAUGAUUCUACUUUUAAUGUGUUUUUUGUCAUAUUUUUAGUCAACCAAAUAUGGGAAUGGAUAUUUUGAUGGAAUAAUCAUUACAUUCCAAUGAACCAAACACUACCUAAGUAUUUAGCAAUUAUUCAUUUCA